GUGAGGAAUAUUGCGCAAUGGAGGCAACUCUGACGCAGCCAUGCCGCGUGCAGGAAGAAGGCGCUACGCGUUGUAAACUGCUUUUAACCGGGAAGAAACCCCAGGACGUGUCCUGGGUUGACGGUACCGGAGGAAUAAGCACCGGCUAACUUCGUGCCAGCAGCCGCGGUAAUACGAAGGGUGCAAGCGUUAUCCGGAUUCAUUGGGUUUAAAGGGUGCGUAGGCGGAGCGUUAAGUCAGUGGUGAAAUCCUGCAGCUUAACUGUAGACUGGCCAUUGAUACUGGCGCUCUUGAGUGCGCUUGAAGUGGGCGGAAUGUGCCGUGUAGCGGUGAAAUGCUUAGAUAUGGCACAGAACACCAAUUGCGAAGGCAGCUCACUAAGGCGAUACUGACGCUGAGGCACGAAAGCGUGGGGAUCGAACAGGAUUAGAAACCCGGGUAGUCC
rnacentral:rRNA from 1 species